rnacentral:rRNA from 1 species
CCGAAAGGCAGGAGUGCCUGCAAGGGAGCGCGGAGACAGGUGGUGCAUGGCUGUCGUCAGCUCGUGUCGUGAGAUGUUGGGUUAAGUCCCGCAACGAGCGCAACCCUCACCUCUUGUUGCCAUCAGGUCAUGCUGGGCACUCUAGAGGAACUGCCCCGGUCAACGGGGAGGAAGGCGGGGAUGACGUCGAGUCAUCAUGCCCCUUACGUCCUGGGCUACACACGUGCUACAAUGGCCGGUACAAAGGGAUGCCACACCGCGAGGUAGAGCUAAACCCAAAAAGCCGGUCUAAGUUCGGAUUGGAGUCUGCAACUCGACUCCAUGAAGGAGGAAUCGCUAGUAAUCGCGUAUCAGCACGACGCGGUGAAUACGUUCCCGGGCCUUGUACACACCGCCCGUCACACCACGAAAGCCAG